AAUACUACCUAGUGACCGAUAGUGAAGCAGUACCGUGAGGGAAAGGUGAAAAGAACCCCGGGAGGGGAGUGAAAUAGAACCUGAAACCGUGUGCCUACAACCGAUCGGAGCACGUUAAAGUGUGACGAUGUGCUUUUUGUAGAACGAGCCAGCGAGUUACGCUAUGUAGCAAGGUUAAGUACUUAAGGUAUGGAGCCGAAGGGAAACCGAGUCUGAAAAGGGCGAAAAGUUGCAUGGUGUAGACCCGAAACCGGGUGACCUAUCCAUGGCCAGGCUGAAGCGAGAGUAAAAUCUCGUGGAGGACCGAACCACGUUGGUGUUGAAAAACCAUGGGAUGAGCUGUGGAUAGCGGAGAAAUUCCAAUCGAACUCGGAGAUAGCUGGUUCGCCCCGAAAUAGCUUUAGGGCUAGCGUCGUGUAAUUGAGUAAUGGAGGUAGAGCACUGAAUGGGCUAGGGGCUAUAGUAGUUACCGAACCCUAUCAAACUCCGAAUGCCAUAUACUUGUAUCACGGCAGUCAGACUGCGAAUGAUAAGAUCCGUAGUCAAAAGGGAAACAGCCCAGACCAUCAGCUAAGGUCCCAAAGUGUAAGUUAAGUGGAAAAGGAUGUGGGAUUUCUAAGACAACUAGGAUGUUGGCUUAGAAGCAGCCACUCAUUUAAAG
rnacentral:ncRNA from 1 species